rnacentral:rRNA from 1 species
UCCUGUUUAGCAAAAACAUGUUUGUUUGGAGUUAUAAAGAAUUUAACCUGCCCCCUGAUUAACUACUAAUUAAAGGGCCGCAGUAUUAUAACUGUGCAAAGGUAGCAUAAUCAUUAGGUUUUUAAUUGAAAUCUCGUAUGAAUGGUUGGACAAAAGAAAGACUCUCUUUAUAUUAAGUUUUGAAUUUAACUUUUAAGUGAAAAGGCUUAAAUAUUCUAAAGGGACGAUAAGACCCUAUAAAACUUUACAUUGUCAUUAAUUUUGAUUGAAUUUAUGAAAUAAAAAUUUUAUUUGAUUAUUUGUUAUGUUGGGGAGACAUAAGUAAAAUAUUUUUUUAACUGCUUGAUAGUUAUACAAUUAUUAGUGAAUAAGUAGAAGAUCCUUUUUAAGAUUAGUAGAUUAAGUUACUUUAGGGAUAACAGUGUAAUUUCUUUUGAGAGUUCUUAUCGAAAAAGAAGGUUGCAACCUCGAUGUUGAAUUAAAAUAUCUAUAUAAUGGAGAGGUUAUAUAAGAAGGUCUGUUCGACCUUGAAAAUUUUACAUGAUUUGAGUUCAAACCGGUGUAAGCCAGGU